AUACGGAGGGUGCAAGCGUUGUUCGGAAUUACUGGGCGUAAAGGGCGCGCAGGCGGCCUGCCAAGUCAGAUGUGAAAUGCCAUGGCUUAACCAUGGACGUGCAUUUGAAACUGGUGGGCUUGAGUACCAGAGGGGAAGGUGGAAUUCCCGGUGUAGAGGUGAAAUUCGUAGAUAUCGGGAGGAAUACCGGUGGCGAAGGCGACUUUCUGGCUGGAUACUGACGCUGAGGCGCGAAAGCGUGGGGAGCAAACAGGAUUAGAUACCCUGGUAGUCCACGCUGUAAACGAUGUGAACUAGAUGCAGGGGGUGUUGAUCCCCUCUGUGUCGCAGCUAACGCAUUAAGUUCACCGCCUGGGGAGUACGGUCGCAAGAUUAAA
rnacentral:rRNA from 1 species